rnacentral:rRNA from 1 species
GACGAACGCUGGCGGCGUGCCUAAUACAUGCAAGUCGAACGCACAGUUUAUACCGUAGCUUGCUACACCAUAAACUGUGAGUUGCGAACGGGUGAGUAACGCGUAGGUAACCUGCCUGGUAGCGGGGGAUAACUAUUGGAAACGAUAGCUAAUACCGCAUAAUAUUAAUUAUUGCAUGAUAAUUGAUUGAAAGAUGCAAUUGCAUCACUACCAGAUGGACCUGCGUUGUAUUAGCUAGUAGGUGAGGUAACGGCUCACCUAGGCGACGAUACAUAGCCGACCUGAGAGGGUGAUCGGCCACACUGGGACUGAGACACGGCCCAGACUCCUACGGGAGGCAGCAGUAGGGAAUCUUCGGCAAUGGACGAAAGUCUGACCGAGCAACGCCGCGGGAGUGAAGAAGGUUGUCGGAUCGUAAAGCUCUGUUGUAAGAGAAGAACGGGUGUGAGAGUGGAAAGUUCACACUGUGACGGUAUCUUACCAGAAAGGGACGGCUAACUACGUG